AUUGAACGCUGGCGGCAUGCCUUACACAUGCAAGUCGAACGGCAGCGCGGGAGCAAUCCUGGCGGCGAGUGGCGAACGGGUGAGUAAUACAUCGGAACGUGCCCAAUCGUGGGGGAUAACGCAGCGAAAGCUGUGCUAAUACCGCAUACGAUCUACGGAUGAAAGCAGGGGACCGCAGGGCCUUGCGCGAAUGGAGCGGCCGAUGGCAGAUUAGGUAGUUGGUGAGGUAAAGGCUCACCAAGCCUUCGAUCUGUAGCUGGUCUGAGAGGACGACCAGCCACACUGGGACUGAGACACGGCCCAGACUCCUACGGGAGGCAGCAGUGGGGAAUUUUGGACAAUGGGCGCAAGCCUGAUCCAGCCAUGCCGCGUGCAGGAUGAAGGCCUUCGGGUUGUAAACUGCUUUUGUACGGAACGAAACGGCCUUUUCUAAUAAAGAGGGCUAAUGACGGUACCGUAAGAAUAAGCACCGGCCAACUACGUGCCAGCAGCCGCCGUAAAAC
rnacentral:rRNA from 1 species